rnacentral:rRNA from 1 species
UCGUGUGACCAAAUCACUCGGCAUGCGCCGGGUCCCGUCGGAUCUCAGAAGCUAAGCGGGAGGGUUUGAGCCUGGAGAGUGCUCGGGUGAGCGACCACCAAUGCGUACAGCACGUGCCGCAGGCU